rnacentral:tRNA from 1 species
GGGCCGGUAGCUCAGCCUGGUAGAGCGCUUGACUUUUAAUCAAGUGGUCGAGGGUUCAACUCCCUUCCGGCCCG